rnacentral:rRNA from 1 species
UACGUAGGGGGCAAGCGUUAUCCGGAUUUACUGGGGUGUAAAGGGAGCGCAGACGGAACUGCAAGUCUGAUGUGAAAGCCCACGGCUUAACCGCGGAGGGUCAUUGGAAACUGGUCGACUUGAGUGCAGAAGAGGGAAGUGGAAUUCCAUGUGUAGCGGUGAAAUGCGUAGAGAUAUGGAGGAACACCAGUGGCGAAGGCGGCUUCCUGGUCUGUAACUGACACUGAGGCGCGAAAGCGUGGGGAGCAAACAGGAUUAGAUACCCCCGUAGU